rnacentral:rRNA from 1 species
AACGAACGCUGGCGGCAGGCCUAACACAUGCAAGUCGAGCGGGCGUAGCAAUACGUCAGCGGCGGACGGGUGAGUAACACGUGGGAAUAUGCCUUUCGGUUUGGAACAACUCGGGGAAACCCGUGCUAAUUCCGGAUACGCCCUUAGGGGGAAAGAUUUAUCGCCGAAAGAUUAGCCCGCGUCCGAUUAGCUAGUUGGUGAGGUAACGGCCCACCAAGGCGACGAUCGGUAGCUGGUUUGAGAGAACGACCAGCCACACUGGGACUGAGACACGGCCCAGACUCCUACGGGAGGCAGCAGUGGGGAAUCUUGGACAAUGGAGGAAACUCUGAUCCAGCCAUGCCGCGUGAGUGAUGAAGG